UGACCCCCUUUGCUACGGUCACAUGUGACUCACAGCAGAGUUACAACAAUUCGCACAGCGCAACAAGGGGAACAAAGAGAAUCAAUGGUGUUCUAAAACGAAGAUUUGCCUGCCUAAAUUAUCUUCGUGUGGAGCUGCACAAAUGAGAAGAGUUUCACUUAAUGAAGAAAUCCUGGACAGGCUGCCACUUGAGGCAGAAGUACCACAGCUGCAGCCACCACCACCACAUCGAGCCGAUGAACCAGUAGGAAGAGCAGUUAGAAAUACCAUGGUGAAUUUUUAUUUUUCAUGAUGGGUUAUAGCUCAUAACAUUUAACAGUUCAGUAAUACUGUUUCUCCAUCAGCUUUGGUGAUUAAUGAUAAGGCCUGGUUCUUUUGUUUGACAAAACUGCUAUUUCUAUGUUUAAGUUUGAAUAUGAAUGCCUUAUUUAAGUAACAGUUUUUUGUUAAGUUAUACCCACUGAUAAAGGCCUCCACUCAAACCAGUCAAAUAUAUUUAUUAACAUGCAUGCAGCACACACGCACUUAAUUUUCAUAGCCAAAGCUCAAAAGGUUAUGCCAUUUGGAGCAGGUCUGUGUUAACUGGCUGUCUUCCCUUUCCACAGACAUCUGUAAAGAAAAACAAAUAUUACGGUUUUAGGGCUGUCCCUUAAGUUGACACCUGUUUCCUAAAAAGAGAAAACACAGUAAGAGUCUUAUAUCUGGUGAGAUAUAAGAGCCUUACUUCAAACACCCUGAAAAGAAAGCCAGGAGCACCUGAUGAAGGUCACCCACCCAAACAAGCUAAGUUACGGGAGACCAGAAGAGUGUCCCAGGCCAGUGUUGAUACAGAAGUCCUUAAUUUUAUCAUACAAGGCCUGCACCCACUUAAUGUGGUUGAGCAACAGGGUUUCAUAGAUCUUGUACAACAUCUGCUCUAGCCUGCAAACAGCUUAAAGGGUCACAUUCUUUUUCUGCCCUUGCCAGUGCUCUGAAUGAUAUCCACACUGAGUUUAACAUCCGUGAAAAGAUUACCCGCACCACAACUGAUAAUGGCUCGAAUUUCUUAAAAGCUUUUAGAGUGUAUGGUCAGACCGACGAAAAUAACAACAAUCCAGCACCUACAGAAGGGAGUGGUGAAGUAGAUGAUGAUGAUAAGAAUGAUGAAGACCAGGAUAGCACUCAGAGCGUGGAGUUUGUUGAGGCUGGAGCCAUAUUGGAUGAAGACAACUGCCUGGAAUAUCAGCUUCCAAAACACCAUCGUUGCGCUUGCCACCUUCUCAACUUGGUGUCAACAGUUGAUGUUGAGGAGGCAAAUUUGAGCACAGUCUACAAGUGUGUCUCACGCUCAACGUUCUCAAAGUGCUGGAGUCUUUGGAACAAAAGCGCAAGAUCCACCACAGCAGCUGAGAUCAUUGAAGAGAAUUGCAAACUCCAGCUCUUGAGGCCCAAUGCAACAAAUGGAACUCACUCUUCUUAGCAGUGGAGAGGAUUGUGAGAAUUGCAAGGGAACAAGGAGAAGGGGCCAUUGCAGCUGUUUGCAGUGCACUAAAGAUACUGAUGUAUGCACCUGCCCCUUUUCAUUUUUAAAGCUGAACUAUAUAUUUUUUCACUUUAAUAAUUUGGACAGAUCCUCAGAGAUCCAGAGCUGGUCGCCACAGCAAUUCUAGUCCCCAAAUUCAAGACAUGCUGGACAAGUGACGAAUGCGUCCUAAAACUUGUCACUUGAAAGACCAAGCUGUGGAGAAUCAAGGAGAGAUCUCCCAUUCUUCAGAGAAGGAGGACUUCUUUUCUGCAAUCAAACAGACCAAUUCCCAAGAAAAUGCCAAACAGCUUGAGGCUUACCUUGGAUGCCGAGGUGAUACAGUAGAUAUACUUAAGUCUUUCCCGGCAGUAUGCAACCUUUCAUUGAGGCUUAACACCACACUCCCAGCCUCAGCAGCCUGCAAGAGAUGUUUAGUGCAGCAGGACUGAUCUUCAGACCAAAGCGGGCACCUAUAGGUUCCAAGAACUUUGAAAACCAGCUUCUUUUGAGGCUAAACAGAAGGUUCUGGUAUUUGUUUAGGGUAUGCCAUUGUACUCUUUCUGUCCUACACAAACACACAAAAUACUGACGUACACUCUCACACGCAGACCGAAAAUGCUCCUGUGGCACCAAUGGUGUUGUUAGUUUAUGUCCAGUUUUACUGCCCAGUUUUUGAAGGAAAUUAUGGACAAGCAUACUUCUCACUCAGACUCCCUCUCUUUCUUUCGCUCUCUUACUCACAC